rnacentral:rRNA from 1 species
UACGUAGGGUGCGAGCGUUGUCCGGAAUUACUGGGCGUAAAGAGCUCGUAGGUGGUUUGUCGCGUUGUUCGUGAAAACUCACAGCUUAACUGUGGGCGUGCGGGCGAUACGGGCAGACUGGAGUACUGCAGGGGAGACUGGAAUUCCUGGUGUAGCGGUGGAAUGCGCAGAUAUCAGGAGGAACACCGGUGGCGAAGGCGGCCCUCUGGACGGUGACUGACGCUGAGACGCGAAAGCGUGGGGAGCAAACAGG